AUGAUUUGGAUGCUAGCAGAAAGGUGGAGUUUUUGGUCACUAGGGCUGGCAAAGAAAAUAACUGACCAUAGACUGUUAUGUGGGUUUUCCACUUUGACUCCUCUGCUGUCUCCCUGUGGCAGCGCCUUCUCUGAAAUGGCUACUCUGGAGCUAACACAGGUAGAAGUUAUUAGAAAUCACUUUGUUUUGAUGGAUUUCUACAGGAAAUGCAUUGUUCACCAGAGGCAUCUAAGCAGAGAUUACACGGUCAGUUUUGCAAAGAGCUGGGCUAUAAUAGACACAACUGACUGGGUGGAAUUAUGAUGAAAAAUGUGUAUUUCUGUUUUGACACCAGCUGUACCGCUCUGCAUUUCUGUGGAUCUCCAUCAGCCUUUCUUAGAAAAAUGGAUGGAACUGUGGCAAUGGGGAUUUUCUUCAUCUGUGCAAGAAUGUGUUGACAAUUGUUAAUCUGAAGCAUUAUCAAAAUCAGAGGGGGAAAACUCCAGACAAGCCCAUGGUCUUAGUCUGGUUUUAUUUUCAUUUAUUUUCAUAUUCAGUCAGUCUUCUUUAUUAACUGUGUUUAUUGUUAUUCAACCUCAUGGCAAGCAUUGUCUUUGACAAGGCCCAGUGGAAGGAAAGCAAAAAGCACAGUUCACUUUUGCACGUACCUCUAACCUUUUUUCUCUCGCUUACCACAACAACAAUUUAAACAGAUGCAAAAAUUACAUUAUAAUCCAGCAAGCUAGCAUCCACUGUGCCAUGCAGCUCUAUACCUUGGUGAGAGACUGUUUUCUAACAGGAUCCGCGUCACCUGCACGUUUACUUUGUUCAGAUCCAGACGUCAGCGUUAGUCAGAGGCUACGUAAGCAAACUAGUUUGAAAGCAGAAAAUGAUGUGGCACUUGUCAAUUCUAUGAAAGGUGAAACGUAAUAUGUUCAGAUGGUCUUGUCACUUCCAUAAUAUGCUUGACUGCACCUGAGCCCUUUCUGGGCAGUAAAGAUUUUAGUAAAAUGAAAUCUUAUUUUAAAGUUUUCCUUUACAUCUCCUCUGCAGUUAAACUGUUUGCUAUACCUGGCAAAGAGAAAAGAUUCUUUCUGUUCUUCCCAUUUUGAACUUGAAAAUUCAAGAGCUGGAGAACUUAAUUUUCUUGGCUUGAGGCAGAAGACUUACUAGCUAAUAAUCUACUGGGUUAUUUUUAUGACUUCUUCAGGUAUGACUACUUGGUUUCUAUUGUAUUUAUUUUUUCCCUGUUUACCAUCUCGUAAGAUUUACGUAGUGCUUUCGUUGUUGUGCAUUCCUAAGGACUGUACACUGUGUUUUGCUG
rnacentral:lncRNA from 1 species